rnacentral:rRNA from 1 species
CGGCAGGCCUAACACAUGCAAGUCGAGCGGGUUUUGGACCUAGCGGCGGACGGGUGAGUAAUGCGUAGGAAGCUACCGAUAGAGGGGAUACCAGUUGGAAACGACUGUUAAUACCGCAUAAUGUCUACGGCCAAAGUGUGGGACCUUCGGGCCACAUGCUAUCGGAUGCGCCUACGUGGGAUUAGCUAGUUGGUGAGGUAAUGGCUCACCAAGGCGACGAUCUCUAGCUGGUUUGAGAGGAUGAUCAGCCACACUGGAACUGAGACACGGUCCAGACUCCUACGGGAGGCAGCAGUGGGGAAUAUUGGACAAUGGCGCAAGCCUGAUCCAGCCAUGCCGCGUGUGUGAAGAAGGCCUUCGGGUUGUAAAGCACUUUCAGCGAGGAGGAAGAGUUGUGUGUUAAUAGUACACAGCUUUGACGUUACUCGCAGAAGAAGCACCGGCUAACUCUGUG